rnacentral:lncRNA from 1 species
GGGAGGUUUACCAAUUGCAGCAUGCAUUGUUUCAUGAAAAAGCCUGUUCCAAGUCGGGAUAUGACAAUUUUGUUUGUUGGUUGUUAUGAAUAGUUCUGUGAUUUUUCCAAUUAGUUUUGUAAUUCGCCAUCUGAAAAAUUAAAAUACUGUGGGUAUAAAUUUUCAAACUCAGUUGUUUGUGUUACAUUCAGUGACAUUUGAU